GUCUGAGGCCGCAACGGCCCGAAGGCGCCCGAUCUCGUCCGAUCUGGGAAGCUAAGCAGGGUCGGGCCUGGUCGGGACCUGGAUGGGAGACCGCCGCUGCCGCCGCCGCCGCCGCCGCCG
ensembl:rRNA 5S_rRNA 5S ribosomal RNA